rnacentral:lncRNA from 1 species
GCGACCGGAUAGCGUGCAUGCGCGGUAGUUUCGCAAUGAUCGAGCUUGAGUUGUUUAUUUCGAGUCUUUCAAGGAUACUUCUUCGUAAAAACUUCCUAUUGGUUAUUUUUUAGAAAAAUUAUAUUUUUUUUUUUACUAUCUUUUUUUGGAAAUACGAUUUCCGAGGAUUUUCGGAUUUUAAUUCCGUCGUGAUGGUUUUUGACCCCAACAGUUAGCCCCCCAGCUCGUUUGGACCAUGCUUCGUAGGGUCCUAGCGUGCGGUUAGGCAUGUUUGGCAAGUUAGGCGUGUUGGAUGGAAUUAAUAUCCGAAAGUCCGAGCUUGAAUAGUAUAUUCUUAUGCCUAUAAGAAAGGAGGUAAUUUCUUCACACUUUUUUUAC